UACAGAGGGGGCAAGCGUUGUCCGGAAUUAUUGGGCGUAAAGGGCUCGUAGGCGGUCUGUCGCGUCGGGAGUGAAAACUCAGGGCUUAACCCUGAGCCUGCUUCCGAUACGGGCAGACUAGAGGUAUGCAGGGGAGAACGGAAUUCCUGGUGUAGCGGUGGAAUGCGCAGAUAUCAGGAGGAACACCGGUGGCGAAGGCGGUUCUCUGGGCAUUACCUGACGCUGAGGAGCGAAAGUGUGGGGAGCGAACAGG
rnacentral:rRNA from 1 species